UCGUGACUCGGGAAUAGUGUGAAAUUCUCAGGAACUUCAGUAAAGUUUACCAGGAAAUCCAGUUGCUCAAAACAUUUAUUUGAAUUUAAUAAACCGUCGUUUGUCACGGUCCGAAAUAUAAAGUGUUGCGGUACUAAUUGUGAUAAUUCUUGAAACCAAGAAAAUCGUAAUUACUCCUUUCUGCCAAAGCGUCAGGUUCCAGCAGUGGUGUAAAAUUCUCGACAUCGAUAAGGAAAACGUAUCACCUAAAACUGUCGUUUGCAGCCUUUUAGCCACCUUCAAGAAAUUUCUCAAAGAGUUUUACCGACCUCUCCACCCCAUUCGUGUCUUCACCAUUGUCUGUGUCUCCACCGAAAGGGGGGUGGGUUAAUUUAUCCUUUAUAUGAACAAGAAGAUAAAGAUUAGAAAUAAGUUUCACUACAGUUUGAAGUAGAAGAACCAGAACCACAUUCAACUGUUUCCAUUUUCCUUAUAUACUCAAGGCACGAAAAUUAUUGCUACUAUUUAUAAUAAAAUAUUUUGCAACCGGGAAAUUAUUUCGAUGUUUGUAAAAUUAAAGUAAAAUUGUAUUUAUGCUAAAUCAAUUUUUGUUGCAAUAAAUUUGGUUGUAAAUCUGCAUCACAACAACUUUCAGUUUUUAAUUAAUUAUUCGAACUUAGAAAGUCGCAAAAAUUCUCCAUUCGAGAUGACGAAAAUCUGUACAAAAAUUAAGUCACAUUAAAUCCUGAGCAUGGUUGUAAAACUGCUCUGACAUAUCUUGUCGUUAAACUUACUUAAUAAUUGAUGAUGGUGGGUGGGUGUGGUAGACACCGAAGCACGAAAAACUGUUUUUUUGUUCUGGGACGUAAAAUAUAAAGUGUGAUGAGA